GGCCCUUUAGCUCAGUGGUAAGAGCAAUCGACUCAUAAUCGACAGGUCGCUGGUUCAAGUCCAGCAAGGGCCACCA
rnacentral:tRNA from 1 species